rnacentral:rRNA from 1 species
CCAAUAGCGUAUAUUAAAGUUGUUGCAGUUAAAAAGCUCGUAGUUGAAUUUCGGGACCAAUAUGUCGGUCGUGCUUCGGUACGUACUUGCAUUAUUGGUUUCUCCCUUCUGAAGAACCAUGAUGUCAUUAAUUUGGUGUCUUGGGGAAUCAGGACUGUUACUUUGAAAAAAUUAGAGUGUUUAAAGCAGGCUCACGCUUGAAUACAUUAGCAUGGAAUAAUGAAAUAGGACGGUUGAUUCUAUUUUGUUGGUUUCUAGGACCGACGUAAUGAUUAAUAGGGAUAGUUGGGGGCAUUAGUAUUCAAUUGUCAGAGGUGGAAUUCUUGGAUCUAUUGAAGACUAACUACCGCGAAAGCAUUUGCCAAGGAUGUUUUCAUUAAUCAAGAACGGAAGUUAGGGGAUCGAAGACGAUCAGAUACCGUCGUAGUCUUAACCAUAAACUAUGCCGACUAGGGAUCGGAUGAUGUUAUUUUUGAUGACUCAUUCGGCGCCUUACG